CACAGGGAGAAGGCAGCCGUCUACAAGUCAAAGAAAGAGACCUCAAGAGAAACCAACCCCGCUGACACCAGGACUUGAUCUUGGACUUCCAGCCUCCAGAACUUUUCCUUGAUGAAGUUUGUUAGGAAUCCUAGAACUGAGUGUCCGUUGAUCAUCAUCAGAUUAAACUUUUUAAAAACCAUGUGCUGAGAACUCAAACAAUAAAUUGGAGGUCUAUACGGAACAAAUAUAAGGAAACACUUAUAGAUACUGAUUUAAACACAGUCCCUGGCUUCUAGUUCCCUUCCCCCAAACCUCCAACUGGGGCAAACGCAUAGAGUCAUCAGGAAUCAACAGCAAUGCAACUAUAAAUUCAAAAUGGUAGCUGGUGGACAAAAGGCUGAAAGCAGCUGCUCUAGGGGGAAAAAAGAAAGACAAAAAGACAAAAUAAUGCCACCCCAUUCACUCCAACCCAUCCCCACCAAGAAAAGAAAAGAAGAGGACUAACUGAAUAUAAGGAAAACCAAGAAUUAAGCUCUCUUUUUU